UGUAGCUCAAUGGUAGAGUUCUGGCCUUCCAAGCCAGCUGUGAGGGUUCGAUCCCCUUCACCAGCUCCA
rnacentral:tRNA from 1 species